UUACGAUGAGGCGGCUGAAGUGGUAAAUUUACUAAAAUUGUAAUGAUACAGAUUAGAUCACCAUGGCCCCUGUUUAAGAGUGGCAAACAAACUCUUGAAGCGGUCCAUAUUUUA
ensembl:snRNA U6 U6 spliceosomal RNA